AUUGAACGCUGGCGGCAUGCUUUACACAUGCAAGUCGAACGGUAACAGGCCGCAAGGUGCUGACGAGUGGCGCACGGGUGAGUAAUGCAUCGGAACGUGCCCAGUCGUGGGGGAUAACUACUCGAAAGAGUAGCUAAUACCGCAUACGAUCUAUGGAUGAAAGCGGGGGACCGUAAGGCCUCGCGCGAUUGGAGCGGCCGAUGUCAGAUUAGGUAGUUGGUGGGGUAAAGGCUCACCAAGCCAACGAUCUGUAGCUGGUCUGAGAGGACGACCAGCCACACUGGGACUGGGACACGGCCCAGACUCCUACGGGAGGCAGCAGUGGGGAAUUUUGGACAAUGGGCGCAAGCCUGAUCCAGCAAUGCCGCGUGCAGGAAGAAGGCCUUCGGGUUGUAAACUGCUUUUGUACGGAACGAAACGGCUCUGGUUAAUACCCGGGGCUAAUGACGGUACCGUAAGAAUAAGCACCGGCUAACUACGUG
rnacentral:rRNA from 1 species